AUUUUGUAUAAAUUCCGAAAAUGCUCUAUAAAUCCGGAAACUUUUAUUUGAUUAGUUUUAUAAUAUUCCGGGGUUUAUAAAAAUAUUUUGGUAGUUGUCGGGAGAAAUUUUAUUGCAAGUAAUCUACGUAAAUUAGUUGAAAGCGGGUAGAAGUUAAUUGCUUACUCAGUUUAAUAAAAUAGUUGGCAGCUUAAAAUUUAUCCGCGUGUCUCCACACUUCUCUUCCUUCAGCCACGUAUACACCCCUGUAAACCCUUUUCCUUUUAUUCCCUGUGAAACCUCAUCUCUCUCGUUAAAUCACAGUAUUCGGGGGACUACUUUCUCUCGCAAAUAUCUCCCCAAUCUCACGCCAUUCCUUCGGUCUCUCGCUACCAUCUCCCUGCACACUUCCCUCCAUCUCUCGCCUCUGUACGUACGGUCGCCAUAUUCCAUCGGGAUUCUCUGCCGCCGCUUCCUUUUCCGGCCAGAACCAACACCGCCUAUUUCUUCCUCUUCCGGCGACCACCAUAGCCCUGCACCAGUUAUAAAUCAGUGGUUAACUCCGUCGGCAUCGACAACCGAAGUACCGUGUUACUCGUGGAGAAUCAACCGAGACUUGUAUAUCAAGGACAUUCAGAAGUAGUUGAAUAGCUUUGUGAAUUUAAUCAGGAAUAGUUCCUUAAGACGAAGCUGUGCUGUGAGAUAGUCCGGUAGAAAUUAAUUGGUGUGAAAAUCAGCAGAACUGAGAUAAUGUUAAAGAUGGUUCGCCUAUUUAUGCUAAGCGUAAGAGUAAGGCUAGGCGAGGAUUGCAAGUGAUUAAGUUUCAACCUGAUGGUCAGGAAGAGUAAUCAAGAUCGUGUCUGUGGGACUAGUGGUAAUUGGAGUUGACUAAAUUUGGUUUAGUUGUAAAAGAAUAGAUUUGUUAAAUUGGAUAUUGGUUAUCCUUCAUAUCGAGGUCUAGUUGAUAAUAUAGUUCAAGCUGUAAUAAGAUCUGUAGUUUUGUUUUCUGAUUUCAAUACUAUAACCUGUUUGCGAUCCUAUUUUAAAGGGGGUGAAAUUGAGUUUUAAUUUAAAUCAUUUUUUUUAUAUAUUCAGGUUUUGAAAUACUUGUUUUAAUUUCUUUCGAAAAUACAGGUUUUAAAUUGUUUUUCUUUUAGUGGCACCAAAUCCAGACCCCCGGAUUUGAGGGCUGUCACAGCUGGUAUCAGAGCUGCAGGUUAUAAGUUAUUGAAAUCAGAAUAAUAGUGGUAAUAUCAGGUUUAAUAAAGAGGUGCGCUAAGUGUAAACUCACAUAGAGGUAGUCUACAGCUAUUUGGAAUAGUAUGUGUCAAUAGAAACAUGAUUCCGAAUAGUAUUGACUUUGAGUAUUUCAUGGUGUGUAUAAUAGUUCUCUUGCCCCAGAACUAGUAAGUUUAUAUCUUAGGGAAGGAAGAACAUGCCUAGUUAGUACCAAUAUUAGCAAACAAAUAGAUUCUCCUGUUGAGUCUAAAAAAAUCACUAACUAUUUCAUAGUCCUCAUCACCAAGAUUGAGAUAAAUUUGAAGAGUAACUUUUUUUUUGCCGGAAUUUGAAGAGUAACUUUAAGUGUUUAUAUAUGGAUUAAAAUUUUUUAACACCAGUUUGAUUGAAACCCAUAGUUGGUGGAUAAGAUUUCCUUCAGUAUUUAGCUUGUUAUUUGAUUUAGAGUCUAAAUCAUUUGAAGGGUGAAAGAUAGACCUAUUAGGUUAGCUUUAUAAUGGGAUCUAAUUGAGGUUGGACCAGUAAAGGUUCUCACAUAGUCUAGAGUAAUCUUUGUAGUAUCUGCCAAUUUUUGAAUAGUAUUUGGGGAGUUACCUUUUGAUUCUUAUCAGAGAUAUAUGGAAUUGGUAAAAGAAUAGGGGUGUUACUUGGUCCGAGUUUUAAGCGUGGUAUAUUGUUAAGUAGCGAACGAUAGAGCUAAGUAAAGUUUGUCUUGGAUUACUCGAUAUAGUAUCUAUGAGUGAGAUAAGAUGUCAACGCUUUGUGAUGUUGAUUGUUUGAAGCUGGAUAUGACAUCUUAUUGACGACAAUAUAUGUUAUGGAAUCUUCAAAGACUAUUAUAAGUUAAUGAUAAUAUUGAUUAUAGAAUUGAAUAAUGAUCCAUUAGAGCAGCAGAUCGAGAAGAAUCUUGGCAAUACCUUCCUUUUUGUUGAUUAUAUUGAUUACCUUCUUCAUCAAUGAAUUGUCUUGACAUCUUUUCCUAGAGACGUUUGAUAAAGACUACAUUUCUAUCUCUUGAGUUAUAAAAUGUUACUUGUGUCUAUUUUAUCAUUUCUAACUAAUCUUUUCAUUGAAACUAGCACCUUUGGAACUUAUUCAAUUUUUAACCCAAGGUGCGCAUCAAAGAUUCAUUCAUCAAAAGUUAAUCAUUCUUAAUUGAUUUUGAAUAUCUAUUAUAUCAUUCUACUCUAACUGAGAUGAACAACCCUACCUAUAGGGGACACAAGGACUACCAGUCUGUGUGAUAGGAGUUGGAUGGGACGCCAUCACUUGUGUGUGUUGUACAUUACAAGAAGGUUAACUACCUUUAGUAGUGUCUUAAUUUAGACACGCAACACCAAGUUCUUUAGAUCAUAUUGAUCUCUCAGUUAUUCUUUUGUUUCCAAUCACGUAAUAUUUGUUCCAAUAGAUCUAAUCUUUCAUUUUCUUGAAAUCUCUAAUAGUUGAAUGUAUGCCAACUGAGUUGCCAAGUAAAAUUAAGCCUUUAUAGUAGGAAGUACCAUGAGCAAAAGCGAAUGAUGAUGCGAAUAUACGACAACAAUCAAGAGGAUAUCACCUCAUAAAGAAGUAUUAUGGAUUAAAGAGAUCGUACGCUCUAGUUUUCUUUUCGCUGAUUCCGAGGACGGAAUCCUUUUAAGGGGGGUAGAUUGUGACAACCCGGAUUUUUCAAAAUAUUUUAUUAAUGGUUUUUAUAAAAAGGAGGAAUAAAAUUUAAUAUUUUAUUUCAGUGUGGUAAAAAUAAAAAAAAUGUAUAUUUGUUUAAAUAUUUUCCUGGUCAUCGUGGUGGGAAAAUAUCUGUUGAUCGUGCAAUUAUCUGUUACGAGAUUUAAUUGAUCUAUUUGUAUACGAUUAUGUUUGUGCGUGCAUUUAUUCCUGCUUUUGAUAUUAUUAUACAGUUUUAUUAAAAUUUAUUAUCCUCUUAAAUGGAUAUUUAUUUUUGUAAAAAUACAAAGAUAAUUUCAAAAAUUAUUUUAAUUGCUCGAUAGUGAUCACAAAUAUUUUUAGGAGUUUGUAAAAUAUUAAAAAUCUUAUUUCUAUAAGGACAUGAUUUUUAAUUAGUUUCUGAACGCAGCUAACUUCUAAAUUUUGUAUAAAUUCCGAAAAUGCUCUAUAAAUCCGGAAACUUUUAUUUGAUUAGUUUUAUAAUAUUCCGGGGUUUAUAAAAAUAUUUUGGUAGUUGUCGGGAGAAAUUUUAUUGCAAGUAAUCUACGUAAAUUAGUUGAAAGCGGGUAGAAGUUAAUUGCUUACUCAGUUUAAUAAAAUAGUUGGCAGCUUAAAAUUUAUCCGCGUGUCUCCACACUUCUCUUCCUUCAGCCACGUAUACACCCCUGUAAACCCUUUUCCUUUUAUUCCCUGUGAAACCUCAUCUCUCUCGUUAAAUCACAGUAUUCGGGGGACUACUUUCUCUCGCAAAUAUCUCCCCAAUCUCACGCCAUUCCUUCGGUCUCUCGCUACCAUCUCCCUGCACACUUCCCUCCAUCUCUCGCCUCUGUACGUACGGUCGCCAUAUUCCAUCGGGAUUCUCUGCCGCCGCUUCCUUUUCCGGCCAGAACCAACACCGCCUAUUUCUUCCUCUUCCGGCGACCACCAUAGCCCUGCACCAGUUAUAAAUCAUUAACUCCGUCGGCAUCGACAACCGAAGUACCGUGUUACUCGUGGAGAAUCAACCGAGACUUGUAUAUCAAGGACAUUCAGAAGUAGUUGAAUAGCUUUGUGAAUUUAAUCAGGAAUAGUUCCUUAAGACGAAGCUGUGCUGUGAGAUAGUCCGGUAGAAAUUAAUUGGUGUGAAAAUCAGCAGAACUGAGAUAAUGUUAAAGAUGGUUCGCCUAUUUAUGCUAAGCGUAAGAGUAAGGCUAGGCGAGGAUUGCAAGUGAUUAAGUUUCAACCUGAUGGUCAGGAAGAGUAAUCAAGAUCGUGUCUGUGGGACUAGUGGUAAUUGGAGUUGACUAAAUUUGGUUUAGUUGUAAAAGAAUAGAUUUGUUAAAUUGGAUAUUGGUUAUCCUUCAUAUCGAGGUCUAGUUGAUAAUAUAGUUCAAGCUGUAAUAAGAUCUGUAGUUUUGUUUUCUGAUUUCAAUACUAUAACCUGUUUGCGAUCCUAUUUUAAAGGGGGUGAAAUUGAGUUUUAAUUUAAAUCAUUUUUUUUAUAUA